rnacentral:lncRNA from 1 species
CCUAUACUGCCUGCAAAUAAUCGAUGAUUUAAAUUUCAAAUAGGUGGUGUGUUUGAGAAGAAACAAGUGGGUGGAAGGAAAGAUUGUUUAAGUGCAGAGGACUGAAUUAGCAUCAGACUCUGACAUUUCAUUAAAAUAACAUUUAGGCCUGACUUAUUUGCUUAGCAUGUGUAUGCUGCAAUGUCAGAAAUGCCUCCUAUGCCUUAGAAGAUCUGAGAAGGCUUCCUUACGUUGGGUGGAACAGAAAAGCAAUAGUAGCCUUGGAGACUUGUCUGCAUCCAGAGAGAAGCCCAUUAGGGUUCUCAUACUGAGAAACCUUGAGUACUGUGAAAUGUUGAACUUUAUGCAGAUCACAUCGCACUGGAUUUUAAAGAUUUAGGGGAAGGAAGUAGAGGAGGAGAAGGGGAAGUAAUUAAUGGUAAAGUAUAUAUAUAUGAACUUUAUUUUACACAAGUAAUGAAACAAAUUCCCUAUCAGGAAUUCUCUGUCAGGACUAACCAGCCAUAUUCUUCUGUCCUACUGAUUGGCUUGUGAUUCCUCUUAAACCUCUAAGUAAUCCUUUCUGAAAGAGCUAAACAGAAACUAGUCUGACUGCAGUUUCACCACCCUGCCCCAUUCCCUUACUCACAACAAAAGAAAAACAUACCCAAACUAUAGGCAAAAAAAAAAAGUCUCAGUACGUUAACUUUUCAUCCUUUAUGGUCUGUGUUCACUGUUGUAGCCUAUUGCAUUGUUUUGCAAUAUAAUGGCAGAACUUAAGUAGAUCUGCCACAUAAGUCAGGAACCAUUGGCUUCUCCUUUAAGAAAUCUUAACACCAGAACUCUCAAUCUUUAGCUUGUC